AUUGAACGCUGGCGGCAUGCCUUACACAUGCAAGUCGAACGGCAGCACGGGUGCUUGCACCUGUUGGCGAGUGGCGAACGGGUGAGUAAUACAUCGGAACAUGUCCUGUAGUGGGGGAUAGCCCGGCGAAAGCCGGAUUAAUACCGCAUACGAUCCGCGGAUGAAAGCGGGGGACCUUCGGGCCUCGCGCUAUAGGGUUGGCCGAUGGCUGAUUAGCUAGUUGGUGGGGUAAAGGCCUACCAAGGCGACGAUCAGUAGCUGGUCUGAGAGGACGACCAGCCACACUGGGACUGAGACACGGCCCAGACUCCUACGGGAGGCAGCAGUGGGGAAUGUUGGACAAUGGGCGAAAGCCUGAUCCAGCAAUGCCGCGUGUGUGAAGAAGGCCUUCGGGUUGUAAAGCACUUUUGUCCGGAAAGAAAUCCUUGGCUCUAAUACAGUCGGGGGAUGACGGUACCGGAAGAAUAAGCACCGGCUAACUACGUG
rnacentral:rRNA from 1 species